rnacentral:lncRNA from 1 species
CCUGACCUCAAGUAAUCUGCCUGCCUCAGCCUCCCAAAGUACUGGGAUUACAGGUAUGAGCCACUGCACCUAGCCAAUGGUCCAGUUUGCAUUCUGUGUUUAUGACAACAUUUUAAGGGAUAUUUACUUUAUCUCUACAAACACACCCUUCUUGGAUAUAAGUAGUUCUUUUUAAUAAACACUUCUUCUACCUCCAGCUCCCUAUUCUUUCCUACCAUUUGGAAAACUGGCCAUUCAGCAAACCAGCCUCUCACCUUACAGGAACCAUAUCCACCCCAAGUGCAGAGCUGUGCCCACCUGACUCAGA